GCGAUUGUGGCGAAGUGGUUAACGCACCUGAUUGUGGUUCAGGCAUUCGUGGGUUCGAUUCCCAUCAGUCGCCC
rnacentral:tRNA from 2 species